GACAGAGGAUCCAAGCGUUAUCCGGAAUGAUUGGGCGUAAAGCGUCUGUAGGUGGCUUUUUAAGUCCGCCGUCAAAUCCCAGGGCUCAACCCUGGACAGGCGGUGGAAACUACCAAGCUGGAGUACGGUAGGGGCAGAGGGAAUUUCCGGUGGAGCGGUGAAAUGCGCAGAUAUCAGGAGGAACACCAAUGGCGAAAGCACUCUGCUGGGCCGACACUGACACUGAGAGACGAAAGCUAGGGGAGCGAAUGGG
rnacentral:rRNA from 1 species